CCUACGGGAGGCAGCAGUAGGGAAUUUUCGGCAAUGGGGGGAACCCUGACCGAGCAACGCCGCGUGAACGAAGAAGUUAUUCGUAAUGUAAAGUUCUUUUAACAGGGAAGAACGAGAAAUUUGACGGUACCUGAAGCAUAAGCUCCGGCUAACUACGUGCCAGCAGCCGCGUUCAUACGUAGGGAGCGAGCGUUAUCCGGAUUUAUUGGGCGAAAAGGGUGCGUAGAUGGUAUAGUAAGUCUUUUGUAAAAAUGCUGGGCCCAACGGAGUAGGGCAAAAGAAACUGCACAGCUAGAGUAUGACAGAGGCGAGUGGAACUACAUGUGUAGCGGUAAAAUGCGUAAAUAUAUGUAAGAACACCAGUGGCGAAGGCGGCUUGCUGGGCCGAUACUGACAUUGAGGCACGAAAGCGUGGGGAGCAAACAGGAUUAGAUACCCCAGUAGUC
rnacentral:rRNA from 1 species